rnacentral:rRNA from 1 species
CCUACGGGAGGCAGCAGUGGGGAAUAUUGGACAAUGGGCGCAAGCCUGACCCAGCAACGCCGCGUGAAGGAAGAAGGCUUUCGGGUUGUAAACUUCUUUUCUCAGGGACGAAGCAAGUGACGGUACCUGAGGAAUCAGCCACGGCUAACUACGUGCCAGCAGCCGCGGUAAUACGUAGGUGGCAAGCGUUAUCCGGAUUUACUGGGUGUAAAGGGGGUGUAGGCGGGGAAGCAAGUCAGAUGUGAAAACCACGGGCUCAACCUGUGGACUGCAUUUGAAACUGGGUUGCUGGAGUACUGGAGAGGCAGACGGAAUUCCUAGUGUAGCGGCGAAAUGCGUAGAUAUUAGGAGGAACACCAGUGGCGAAGGCGGUCUGCUGGACAGCAACUGACGUUGAGGCGCGAAAGCGUGGGGAGCAAACAGGAUUAGAUACCCGUGUAGUC